AAGAUAGUAGUAUUAAUGUACAUUUUCCUUCCAAGAAAAAGGACCAAACAAAAACAAUGGCUAUCUUA
rnacentral:tRNA from 1 species